rnacentral:rRNA from 1 species
AUGUUUACUUCCAUUGUAGGUAACAUAUUUGGUUUCAAAUCCCUACGUGCUCUACGUUUGGAGGAUCUACGAAUUCCCCCUACUUAUUCAAAAACUUUCCAAGGCCCGCCUCAAGGUAUCCAAGUUGAAAGAGAUAAGUUGAACAAGUAUGGUCGUCCUUUAUUGGGAUGUACUAUUAAACCAAAAUUGGGAUUAUCCGCAAAAAAUUAUGGUAGAGCAUGUUAUGAGUGUCUAUGUGGUGGACCUGAUUUUACCAAAGUUGAUGAAAACGUAAACUCACAACCAUUUAUGCGCUGGAGAGACCGUUUUGUCUUUUGUGCCGAAGCUAUUUAUAAAUCACAGGCCGAAACCGGUGAAAUCAAGGGGCAUUACUUGAAUGCGACUGCGGGUACAUGUGAAGAAAUGAUUAAGAGAGUUGUAUUUGCAAGAGAAUUAGGGGUUCCUAUUGUAGUGCAUGACUACUUAACUGGGGGAUUCAUAGCAAAUACUACUUUGGCUCAUUAUUGUCGCGACAAUGGCCUACUUCUUCACAUUCACCGUGCAAUGCAUGCAGUUAUUGAUAGAUAG